rnacentral:rRNA from 1 species
CUACGGGUGGCUGCAGUGAGGAAUUUUGCGCAAUGGGCGAAAGCCUGACGCAGCAACGCCGCGUGAGUGAUGAAGGCCUUCGGGUCGUAAAGCUCUGUCAAGCGGGAAGAAACCGUUCCCGGUCAACACCCGGGGGCGCUGACGGUACCGCUGAAGGAAGCACCGGCUAACUCCGUGCCAGCAGGCCGCGGUAAUACGGAGGGUGCGAGCGUUAUUCGGAAUUAUUGGGCGUAAAGGGCGCGCAGGCGGCCCUGCAAGUCGGAGGUGAAAGCCCGGGGCUCAACCCCGGAAGUGCAUUCGAUACUGCAGGGCUUGAGUAUGGGAGAGGGAAGUGGAAUUCCUGGUGUAGAGGUGAAAUUCGUAGAUAUCAGGAGGAACACCGGUGGCGAAGGCGACUUCCUGGACCAAUACUGACGCUGAGGCGCGAAGGCGUGGGGAGCAAACAGGAUUAGAUACCCUCGUAGUC